GCAUCCAACGCGUUGGGAGCUCUCCCAUAUGGUCGACCUGCAGGCGGCCGCGAAUUCACUAGUGAUUCGUAUUACCGCGGCUGCUGGCACAUAGUUAGUCGUCACUUUCUCUACGCGUACCGUCAGGACUUUCGCCCUUCUUCCGCGUCAACAGAGGUUUACAAUCCUUAGACCUUCUUCCUUCACGUAGUGUCGCUCGGCCAUGGUUGCCCACGUUGCCGAAUAUUCCUCACUGCUGCCUCCCGUAGGAGUGGGGACCGUGUCUCAGUUCCCCUGUGGCCGUUCAUUCUCUCAAACCAGCUACGCAUCAUUGCCUAGGUGGGAUUUACCCACACCCAAUAGCUAAUACGACUUAUUCUCAUCAACUAGCGAAGGUCUAAAGACCUCCUUUCAUUACGUAAACGAAUACGCAACAAAUGCGGUAUUACCCACGAUUUCUCAUGGCUAUCCCCCACUAAUUGGCAGAUCAAAUAAGCAUUACUCACCCGUACGCCGCUAAAGAUAAUAUUGCUAUCAUCUUCCGCUCGACUUGCAUGUGUUAAGCACACUACCAACGUUCACCCUGAGCCAUGAUCAAACUCUAAUCGAAUUCCCGCGGCCGCCAUGGCGCCCGGGAGCAUGCGACGUCAGGCCCAAU
rnacentral:rRNA from 1 species